AAGGACCCUUGAGACUGAAAUCCUUUGUUUAUCCACCAAAUGGCUUCCCCACUCUGCCCUGCCAAUAAGUCUCAGCCCUGCUCUAAAGGGGCCACCCCAGGGAUGGGAGGGGAGAGUUCAGUCUCUAAGGCCUAUUCAGUUCAACU
rnacentral:sRNA from 1 species